AGUGAACGCUGGCGGUAGGCCUAACACAUGCAAGUCGAACGGCAGCACAGUAAGAGCUUGCUCUUACGGGUGGCGAGUGGCGGACGGGUGAGGAAUACAUCGGAAUCUACUUUUUCGUGGGGGAUAACGUAGGGAAACUUACGCUAAUACCGCAUACGACCUACGGGUGAAAGCAGGGGAUCUUCGGACCUUGCGCGAUUGAAUGAGCCGAUGUCGGAUUAGCUAGUUGGCGGGGUAAAGGCCCACCAAGGCGACGAUCCGUAGCUGGUCUGAGAGGAUGAUCAGCCACACUGGAACUGAGACACGGUCCAGACUCCUACGGGAGGCAGCAGUGGGGAAUAUUGGACAAUGGGCGCAAGCCUGAUCCAGCCAUACCGCGUGGGUGAAGAAGGCCUUCGGGUUGUAAAGCCCUUUUGUCGGGAAAGAAAAGCAGCAGGUUAAUACCCCGCUGUUCUGACGGUACCCAAUGAAUAAGCACCGGCUAACUUCGUG
rnacentral:rRNA from 1 species